AGGGAUGGGGUUAUGUAUGGGACUCUUGAAUGCGUGCAAACAUAACAACCCUUUCCACGGGAUUUUCUGAGUUUUGCUUCAAUAGUUUGUAAUCUGAAUGGAUUGAAAGUGUGGAUGGAUUCUAAAUGCCAAUGAUGUCUUAUGAUGUUGUUAAUGAUUUUUAUUUUUGAAUCCAUCUAGUUUCGGUUCUUUUUUUUUUUUUCUGAUUUCUAAUUCCUCGAAAGAUUCUGUUACUCCACUGUAUUUGAUGGAAACAAAAGGUGCAGAAACUACAAAAUGUAGUAAGCUGGUUUUCUACUUUUUCUUUCUUAUGAAUGCAAACUUGAAUUAACGGGUUGGUG
rnacentral:lncRNA from 1 species